UCUGGCCUGCUGCAUGUUUUUAUAAGUAAACUGUUAUUGGAAUACAGCCAUGCCCAUUCUUUUAUGUGUUGUCUACAGCUGCUUU